rnacentral:sRNA from 1 species
UGUAUCUGAAGUCUGACGAGGAUGAGAACCUCCGGGGGCAAGAGGUUCGACCCGAGCGAAGCGAGAGAACGUUGCGUCAGCAA